GUGGGGAAUAUUGGGCAAUGGGCGAAAGCCUGACCCAGCAACGCCGCGUGAAGGAAGAAGGUUUUCGGAUCGUAAACUUCUAUCCUUGGUGAAGAUAAUGACGGUAGCCAAGAAGGAAGCCCCGGCUAACUACGUGCCAGCAGCCGCGGUAAUACGUAGGGGGCAAGCGUUGUCCGGAAUGAUUGGGCGUAAAGGGCGCGUAGGCGGCCUGGUAAGUCUGGAGUGAAAGUCCUGCUUUUAAGGUGGGAAUUGCUUUGGAUACUGUCGGGCUUGAGUGCAGGAGAGGUAAGCGGAAUUCCCGGUGUAGCGGUGAAAUGCGUAGAGAUCGGGAGGAACACCAGUGGCGAAGGCGGCUUACUGGACUGUAACUGACGCUGAGGCGCGAAAGUGUGGGGAGCAUACAGGAUUAGAAACCCCUGUAGUCC
rnacentral:rRNA from 1 species